rnacentral:rRNA from 1 species
UACGGAGGGUGCAAGCGUUAUCCGGAUUCACUGGGUUUAAAGGGUGCGUAGGCGGGUUGGUAAGUCCGUGGUGAAAUCCCCAAGCUUAACUUGGGAACUGCCGUGGAUACUAUCAAUCUUGAAUAUCGUGGAGGUAAGCGGAAUAUGUCAUGUAGCGGUGAAAUGCUUAGAUAUGACAUAGAACACCAAUUGCGUAGGCAGCUUACUACACGAUCAUUGGCGCUGAGGCACGAAAGCGUGGGGAGCAAACAGG